rnacentral:rRNA from 1 species
UACGUAGGGUGCAAGCGUUAAUCGGAAUUACUGGGCGUAAAGCGUGCGCAGGCGGUGAUGUAAGUCAGCUGUGAAAGCCCCGGGCUCAACCUGGGAAUUGCGGUUGAAACUGGCGAACUAGAAUCUGGCAGAGGGGGGUGGAAUUCCACGUGUAGCAGUGAAAUGCGUAGAGAUGUGGAGGAGCACCGAUGGCGAAGGCAGCCCCCUGGGCUGAGAUUGACGCUCAGGCACGAAAGCGUGGGGAGCAAACAGG